UUAGCAUGGAAUAAUAAAAUAGGACAUCUGAUUCUAUUUUGUUAGUUUUUAGGAUUGAUGUAAUGAUUAAUAGGGAUAGUUAGGGGUAUUAGUAUUCAAUUAUCAGAGAUGAAAUUCUUGGAUUUAUUGAAGACUAACUACUGCGAAAGCAUUUGCUAAGGAUGUUUUUAUUAAUCAAGAAUGAAAGUUAGGGAAUCGAAGACGAUCAGAUACUGUUGUAGUCUUAACCAUAAACUAUGCCGACUAAGGAUCAGAUGAUAUUAAUUUUUUAAUGACUCAUUUAGCGUCUUACGGGAAACUAAAGUGUUUGGGUUCCAGGGGGAGUAUAGUCGCAAGGCUGAAACUUAAAGGAAUUGACGAAAGGGCACCAUCAGGGGUGGAGCCUGCGGCUUAAUUUGACUCAAUACAGGGAAAUUCAUCAGGUCUAGACAUAGUAAGGAUUGACAGAUUGAGAGCUCUUUCUUGAUUCUAUGGGUGGUGGUGCAUGGCCGUUUUUAGUUAGUGGAGUGAUUUGUCUGGUUAAUUCCAUUAACAAACAAGACCUUAACCUGCUAAAUAGCUAGGGUUAACAUUGUUAGGUCGUCAGCCUCUUAGAGAGACUAUCGGUGUUUAACCAAUAGAAGUUUGAGGCAAUAACAGGUCUGUGAUGCCCUUAGAUGUUCUGGGCCGCACGCGCGCUACACUGACGGAGCCAACGAGUACUUUCCUUGUCCGGAAGGACUGGGUAAUCUUGUGAAACUUCGUCGUGCUGGGGAUAGAGCAUUGCAAU
rnacentral:rRNA from 1 species